GAAAGAUUAGCUGAGUUUUUCUGCUGACUUAACUGUUGAAUAGCAUCAUCCUCAGGCACUACCAAAAGUGUUUAGAGCACUCUGUUGAAAAUGGCAGUAUUUGAAGAAACUGGAUGUCACUUAAAAUAUGAUCCUUGGAUAAACAUCACAUGCUGCUGGCCUUCUUACAAAAUGAGUGUGAGUGAAGUGCUUGGCUCUGCGAGAUGGUCCUGGAAUAUCUUCACCACUCUUCACAAUUACGUCCUCUUGCAUUCCCACUGAUCCUUCAGAAUUGUGUGGCCUUUCAACUUUCUGAAAGGCCUUCACUGUCUCUUAAUUCAAAUUCUCCACAUGUAAAUACAAGUCAGAUCACCUUACAAUUUAAUCUUUAAGCAAAACUGUAAAUCAUCAUUUCCCGCGACAUUACAAUUGUUGGGGGAAAGGUGUUUGGUGUCACAUCUAAUGGCUUGAAAACUCGGAGCAUCUCUGGACACAGUCAAUAUCCAGGUCUCAAAUAUGCAUUUACUGUGUUUAUUAUAAUGACUGCCUUUGUAUUCACUGCAAUCAUUUUCUACUGUUUCUUCCUUUGUGUAAUCAUUUCUUCCCUUCCCCUCCAUUGUAUUUUUUUAGAGUAAUUCUAUAUUCUGUUUUUGAAUACACACUUCUCUUUCUUUUAAAAUAA
rnacentral:lncRNA from 1 species